GACCCACCCUGGAUGUGGGAAGUGCCAUCCAGUGGACCGGGGUUCUGGACUGAACAAAAAGUGGAAAAGGAGAAAGAGAGCUGAGCACUAGCAGGAAUCUGUUUCCUGACUGCGGAUGUAGUGUGACCAGAAGCCUCACACCGUCCCUGCCAUGAUGGACUCUACUCUCUUCAACCCUGAGCCAAAAUAAGAAUUUCUUCUCUAAGCCCCCUUUGUUAGGAAUUUGGUCACGACAAUAGGAAAAGCAAUGAAUGCACGACCCGUGAUUCCUUUUUAAGUAAGAGCUGUGCAAGUGGACCCCAGACAACUCUGUCCCCAGAGAGUCCCAUGUCUCUCACCUGGAAAGCUUGGUCUGAAGUAAUGGUCUCGGGGUUUCUGUCCUUUGAGGAACAGCCUAGAAAGGGGGAACAGUGGCCUGAAAUCUAGCAGUCUCCCAGAUGCCUCCCUCCCCCACCAGCCUUUACCUUCCAUACCUGGCCAGGGGCGGCCACAGUCCUUUUUGAACCCGUGCGGGGACUCAUGACCUCGCCUGAAAUGCUCAUGCUCCGACCCGCAGGCCUACAGGCACUGCCACGAUUCACGCACGGGGACUCCAGCUCCACGGAGCUGAGAGACUGAGUCUCCUGCAGCCCUUUGGCCUUAGCGUGCGCCCCACGCGGCAACUCCUGGGUGGAGCAAGCCUCUCUCAAGCCCUCGCCCGUGGGUCCACCGCUCCAACCCACGCGAUGCAGUUUGCCUGGCUCGGAGAAACAGCACAUCCGCUGCUGGCUGGCCAGACGCCCCCGGUCGGCAUCAACCAGCGCUCGGACCGGGGUGCGUGCGGGCUCCGCUUCUCCACCCUCGUGGCAGCUGGAGGCUGAGCGCGCGUGCACCGCGGGAGGCCGCGGGGUGAGCGCGGGCCGCAGGCGGCCGGGCAGGCUCAUGCGGAGCUCCUUUCUCUGGAACGAUGUCUCCCGCAGCACUCGACGCUGCGCACCCUGCAGCCGCUGACGGCUGUCUGCAGUGAGCCCCAAGUGUGUAGCCUCGCCACUGCCCUUCCAGCUGACACAAAGCAUUCCCACACAGAUAAGGGCAGGAAACUGGAGGUACCAGCGGCUCGAUCCCUGAGCAUUGUCCCUCUGCCUUCCGAGGCCCUCGGCACAGUAAGGUGGCUGUGAGCAGACCCACACAGAUGCUGGG